rnacentral:rRNA from 1 species
CAGCGCCACGGUAAUACGGAGGGUGCAAGCGUUAAUCGGAAUUACUGGGCGUAAAGCGCACGCAGGCGGUCUGACAAGUCAGAUGUGAAAUCCCCGGGCUUAACCUGGGAACUGCAUUUGAAACUGUCAGGCUGGAGUCUUGUAGAGGGGGGUGGAAUUCCAGGUGUAGCGGUGAAAUGCGUAGAGAUCUGGAGGAAUACCGGUGGCGAAGGCGGCCCCCUGGACAAAGACUGACGCUCAGGUGCGAAAGCGUGGGGAGCAAACAGGAUUAGAUACCCCGGUAGUCCCUGUCUCUUAUACA